rnacentral:misc_RNA from 1 species
GAUGAAGAACGUAGCGAAAUGCGAUAAGUAAUGUGAAUUGCAGAAUUCAGUGAAUCAUCGAAUCUUUGAACGCACAUUGCGCCCAUUAGUAUUCUAGUGGGCAUGCCUGUUCGAGCGUCAUUAAUUCCACUUAAGCCCUGCUUAGUGUUGGGAAUCUACUCUAGUGGUGCUACCCUGGAGCUACCCCUGAAAGGGGGCUGGCCCGGUAGCUACCCUGUAGUUCCUCAAAGAUAGUGCGCGGAGUUGCGUGGUCCUCUGAGCUUAGUAACUAUACACCUAGCUUUUGAGUGUCCCGCGGCGCCUGCCGUUUAAACCCCAUCUUUUAAUGGUUGACCUCGGAUCAGGUAGGAAUACCCACUGAACUUAAGCAUAUCAAUAAGCGGAGGA